GACGAACGCUGGCGGCGUGCCUAAUACAUGCAAGUUGAGCGCUGAAGGUUGGUACUUGUACCAACUGGAUGAGCAGCGAACGGGUGAGUAACGCGUGGGGAAUCUGCCUUUGAGCGGGGGACAACAUUUGGAAACGAAUGCUAAUACCGCAUAAAAACUUUAAACACAAGUUUUAAGUUUGAAAGAUGCAAUUGCAUCACUCAAAGAUGAUCCCGCGUUGUAUUAGCUAGUUGGUGAGGUAAAGGCUCACGAAGGCGAUGAUACAUAGCCGACCUGAGAGGGUGGUCGGCCACAUUGGGACGGGGACACGGCCCAAAAUCCUACGGGAGGCAGCAGUAGGGAAUCUUCGGCAAUGGACGAAAGUCUGACCGAGCAACGCCGCGUGAGUGAAGAAGGUUUUCGGAUCGUAAAACUCUGUUGGUAGAGAAGAACGUUGGUGAGAGUGGAAAGCUCAUCAAGUGACGGUAACUACCCAGAAAGGGACGGCUAACUACGUG
rnacentral:rRNA from 1 species